GUAUGCACAUUUUUUGACAUCGGUUGGCAAUUCAUGUGUAUUUAUCUUUAUUUUAACAUACUUCUAACUUUUAACUAUGACCAGUGCUUCUUGAAUUAUCUUUGAAGGUUUGGAAUCUUCAACCCAGCAGUCGUGUAUGAUCACCUGGGAGAAAUUUAUUCAGCACUUAUUCUGGGAAGCUUAGUGUUCUGCAUUUUGUUUUACUUGAAAGGUCAUUUGGCACCAUCUUCUUCGGAUUCUGGUUCAUUAGGGAACUUCAUAAUUGAUUUUUAUUGGGGCAUGGAACUGUAUCCUCGUAUCAGCAAAAACUUUGACAUCAAGGUUUUUACAAACUGCCGAUUUGGUAUGAUGUCCUGGGU